AGUGAACGCUGGCGGUAGGCCUAACACAUGCAAGUCGAACGGCAGCACAGUAAGAGCUUGCUCUUACGGGUGGCGAGUGGCGGACGGGUGAGGAAUACAUCGGAAUCUACUUUUUCGUGGGGGAUAACGUAGGGAAACUUACGCUAAUACCGCAUACGCCCUACGGGUGAAAGCAGGGGAUCUUCGGACCUUGCGCGAUUGAAUGAGCCGAUGUCGGAUUAGCUAGUUGGCGGGGUAAAGGCCCACCAAGGCGACGAUCCGUAGCUGGUCUGAGAGGAUGAUCAGCCACACUGGAACGGGGACACGGUCCAGACUCCUACGGGAGGCAGCAGUGGGGAAUAUGAGACAGUGGGCGCAAGCCUGAUCCAGCCAUACCGCGUGGGUGAAGAAGGCCUUCGGGUUGUAAAGCCCGUUUGUUGGGAAAGAAAAGCAGCAGGUUAAUACCCCGCGGUUCUGACGGUACCCAAAGAAUAAGCACCGGCUAACUUCGUG
rnacentral:rRNA from 1 species